UAGCGUCACCGGUAUCUCCAAAUCUCAGCUCAGUAACAGGCAGUGUGUUCUUGUCAUUCUUGUCACAAUUACAUUUUCCUCCACCUGCACAGCUGUUGGUCAUUCCACAUGCACAUUUUCCACUGUUGACUGCCGCUCCACCCCAGUACUUCAUCUUUGUACCUUGACGUGAUACCCACCAACCAUAAGGUGUAGAGAACCACAUACCGCUACCAUAACAUUCAUAUUUUAUAAACUGCUCACAAUUCUUGGACUGCUUCAUAAUGGCAAGGAUCUGCUCCAUCGAAAU